rnacentral:rRNA from 1 species
AGCGAACGCUGGCGGCAGGCCUAACACAUGCAAGUCGAACGAAGCCUUCGGGCUUAGUGGCGGACGGGUGAGUAACACGUGGGAACGUACCUUUUGGUUCGGAAUAACGCAGAGAAAUUUGCGCUAAUACCGAAUGAGCCCUUCGGGGGAAAGAUUUAUCGCCGAAAGAUCGGCCCGCGUUGGAUUAGGUAGUUGGUGUGGUAAAGGCGCACCAAGCCUACGAACCAUAGCUGGUCUGAGAGGAUGAUCAGCCACACUGGGGCGGAGACACGGCCCAGACUCCUACGGGAGGCAGCAGUGGGGAAGCUUGCGCAAUGGGCGAAAGCCUGACGCAGCCAUGCCGCGUGAAUGAUGAAGGUCUUAGGAUUGUAAAAUUCUUUUGCCAGGGACGAUAAUGACGGUACCUGGAGAAAAAGCCCCGGCUAACUUCGUGCCAGCCGCCGCGGUAA